rnacentral:rRNA from 1 species
UAGGGAAUCUUGGACAAUGGGCGAAAGCCUGAUCCAGCCAUGCCGCGUGAGUGAUGAAGGCCUUAGGGUUGUAAAGCUCUUUCGCCAGGGAAGAUAAUGACGGUACCUGGAUAAGAAGCCCCGGCUAACUUCGUGCCAGCAGCCGCGGUAAUACGAAGGGGGCUAGCGUUGUUCGGAAUUACUGGGCGUAAAGCGCACGUAGGCGGUUUUCCAAGUUGGAGGUGAAAUCCCCGGGCUUAACCCGGGAACUGCCUCCAAAACUGGGACACUCGAGUCCGAGAGAGGUGAGUGGAAUUUCCAGUGUAGAGGUGAAAUUCGUAGAUAUUGGAAAGAACACCAGUGGCGAAGGCGGCUCACUGGCUCGGUACUGACGCUGAGGAGCGACAGCGUGGGGAGCAAACA